rnacentral:rRNA from 1 species
GACGAACGCUGGCGGCGUGCUUAACACAUGCCAGUCGAACGGUGAAGCGCCUUCCUUUUUGGUGGGUGUGGAUGAGUGGCGAACGGGUGAGUAACACGUGAGUAACCUGCCCCCUUCUUCUGGAUAACCGCAUGAAAGUGUGGCUAAUACGGGAUAUUCUGGGUCUGUCGCAUGAUGGGUCUGGGACAGAUAUUGUUUCGGUGGGGGAUGGGCUCGCGGCCUAUCAGCUUGUUGGUGGGGUGAUGGCCUACCAAGGCGGUGACGGGUAGCCGGCCUGAGGGGUUGGAGGGUCGAACGGGGACUGGGACACGGCGCGGACGAGUACGGGAGGAGGCUGUGGGGGAUGGUGGACGAGAGGCGUAAGGCUGAGGGAGCGGAGCCGCGUGGGGGAUGGGGGCCGUCGGGUGGGAAGGCUCUUGCGUCGGAGAAGGAGGCCGGCCUCGAUGGUGGGUGGGUGGAGGUUAGCCGUAUAAGAAGCGCCGGCAAACUACGG